rnacentral:tRNA from 1 species
AAAUAAGAAGCAAAAAUUGCAGUUAGUUUCGACCUAAAAUUAGGCAUUAACCCGCCCUUAUUUU